rnacentral:rRNA from 1 species
UACGUAGGGAGCGAGCGUUUGUCCGGAUUCAUUGGGCGUAAAGAGCUCGUAGGCGGCUUGAUAAGUCGGAUGUGAAACCUCCAGGCUCAACCUGGAGUCGCCAUCCGAUACUGUCAUGGCUAGAGUCCGGUAGGGGCCCACGGAAUUCCUGGUGUAGCGGUGAAAUGCGCAGAUAUCAGGAGGAACACCGGUGGCGAAGGCGGGUCUCUGGGCCGUUACUGACGCUGAGGAGCGAAAGCGUGGGGAGCGAACAGG